UACGGAGGGGGCUAGCGUUGUUCGGAAUUACUGGGCGUAAAGCGCACGUAGGCGGCUUCGUAAGUCAGAGGUGAAAGCCCGGGGCUCAACCCCGGAACUGCCUUUGAGACUGCGGCGCUCGAAUCCGGUAGAGGCGGGUGGAAUUCCUAGUGUAGAGGUGAAAUUCGUAGAUAUUAGGAAGAACACCAGUGGCGAAGGCGGCCCGCUGGACCGGGACUGACGCUGAGGUGCGAAAGCGUGGGGAGCAAACAGG
rnacentral:rRNA from 1 species